GGAGUUGGCCAGGCAGUCGCUGCCUCUAUUUUAUAGAGGGGGAGGAAAGUCCGGGCUCCAUAGGGCAGGGUGCCAGGUAAUGCCUGGGGGGCGUGAGCCUACGGAAAGUGCAGCAGAGAGUAGACCGCCGAUGGCUCCUUUUGGGGAGUACAGGUAAGGGUGAAAGGGUGCGGUAAGAGCGCACCGCGCGACUGGUAACAGUUCGUGGCAUGGUAAACCCCACUCGGAGCAAGACCAAAUAGGAACCCAAAGGUGCGGCCCGCACUGGGUUCGGGUAGGUUGCUUGAGGUCUGUGGCGACGCAGAUCCUAGAGGAAUGACUGUCCUCGACAGAACCCGGCUUAUCGGCCAACUCCACAU
rnacentral:RNase_P_RNA from 1 species